AGUACGUGAAACCGUUCAGGGGUAAACCUGAGAAACCCGAAAGAUUCGAAAGGGGAGAUUCAGCGUGUCUCUCGUCCGCUCGCGAGCGGUGAGCGUUCUGUCGACGGUCGGCGUCCGCGCCGGCCGCGCCGCUCACCGCCGCAUACGGGUGGCGAACGCGUGCACUUCUCCCUUAGUAGGACGUCGCGACCCGUUGGGCGCGGGCCUAAGGACCGGUGGGUAGACCACGGCGGCGCCUUCACGGGUGCCCGCCUGGACCCCUGGCUCUCCCGGCUCGCUCGCUCGACGGUAUGACAGUGGCGCGGGGCCGCGACUUGUUCGCGUCCGGCCCGUCGCAAGUGCCCGCGGUAAAUCCGGUUGUUCGGACCUAGUGCCGGCACCGGACCCGUCGGGACUGCUGGCGGCGGUGUCCUCGGACAGACUCCGAUCUCACGCCUGUCAGCGACGCUAUAGCUUUGGGUACUUUCAGGACCCGUCUUGAAACACGGACCAAGGAGUCUAGCAUGUGCGCGAGUCAUUGGGAAUUGCGAAACCCACAGGCGAAAUGAAAGUGAAGGCGCGCUUUGGCGCGCCUAGGGCGGAUGCGCCGGUCUCUGUGCAGGCGUCGCACGCCCGGGGCGUCUCGUGCUCAUUGCGAGCUGAGGCGCACCUAGAGCGUACAUGCUGGGACCCGAAAGAU
rnacentral:rRNA from 1 species